rfam:Anopheles minimus strain MINIMTS1 unplaced genomic scaffold supercont1.34, whole genome shotgun sequence.
GGUCCGGUGGCCGAGGCGUUAAAGGCGCUGGUCUCACACGGCAAGACCAGGGUUCAAAUCCCAUCCGGACCG